rnacentral:rRNA from 1 species
UAUUGCACAAUGGGCGCAAGCCUGAUGCAGCCAUGCCGCGUGUGUGAAGAAGGCCUUCGGGCUGUAAAGCACUUUCAGUCAGGAGGAAAGGUUAGUAGUUAAUACCUGCUAGCUGUGACGUUACUGACAGAAGAAGCACCGGCUAACUCCGUGCCAGCAGCCGCGGUAAUACGGAGGGUGCGAGCGUUAAUCGGAAUUACUGGGCGUAAAGCGUACGCAGGCGGUUUGUUAAGCGAGAUGUGAAAGCCCCGGGCUCAACCUGGGAACUGCAUUUCGAACUGGCAAACUAGAGUGUGAUAGAGGGUGGUAGAAUUUCAGGUGUAGCGGUGAAAUGCGUAGAGAUUUGAAGGAAUACCGAUGGCGAAGGCAGCCACCUGGGUCAACACUGACGCUCAUUACGAAA